ACUCCUACGGGAGGCAGCAGUGGGGGAUAUUGCACAAUGGGCGAAAGCCUGAUGCAGCAACGCCGCGUGAGGGAAGACGGUUUUCGGAUUGUAAACCUCUGUCUUUGGUGAAGAAAGAAAUGACGGUAGCCAAGGAGGAAGCCACGGCUAACUACGUGCCAGCAGCCGCGGUAAUACGUAGGUGGCAAGCGUUGUCCGGAAUUACUGGGUGUAAAGGGAGCGCAGGCGGGGAGGCAAGUCCGCUGUGAAAACUAUGGGCUUAACCCAUAGGCGGCAGUGGAAACUGUAUCUCUUGAGUGGAGUAGAGGCAGGCGGAAUUCCGAGUGUAGCGGUGAAAUGCGUAGAUAUUCAGAGGAACACCAGUGGCGAAGGCGGCCUGCCGGGCUCUAACUGACGCUGAGGCUCGAAAGUGUGGGGAGCAAACAGGAUUAGAUACCCUGGUAGUC
rnacentral:rRNA from 1 species